rnacentral:sRNA from 1 species
UAAUACAAGAGAAAAGAGAGAAAUGCGUCAACAUUCCCCUCUUUUGCAGAACCGUUAAAGACGGUAGCCAAAUAGAAGAAACAAAAA